rnacentral:rRNA from 1 species
CGGGUUGUAAAGCACUUUCAGUAAGGAGGAAAGGUUAAGUGUUAAUAGCGCUUAGCUGUGACGUUACUUACAGAAGAAGCACCGGCUAACUCCGUGCCAGCAGCCGCGGUAAUACGGAGGGUGCGAGCGUUAAUCGGAAUUACUGGGCGUAAAGCGUACGCAGGCGGUUUGUUAAGCGAGAUGUGAAAGCCCCGGGCUCAACCUGGGAACUGCAUUUCGAACUGGCAAACUAGAGUGUGAUAGAGGGUGGUAGAAUUUCAGGUGUAGCGGUGAAAUGCGUAGAGAUCUGAAGGAAUACCGAUGGCGAAGGCAGCCACCUGGGUCAACACUGACGCUCAUGUACGAAAGCGUGGGGAGCAAACAGGAUUAGAUACCCUGGUAGUCCACGCCGUAAACGAUGUCUACUAGAAGCUCGGGUCUUCGGACUUGUUUUUCAAAGCUAACGCAUUAAGUAGACCGCCUGGGGAGUACGGCCGCAAGGUUAAAACUCAAAUGAAUUGACGGGGGCCCGCACAAGCGGUGGAGCAUGUGGUUUAAUUCGAUGCAACGCGAAGAACCUUACCUACACUUGACAUACAGAGAACUUACCAGAGAUGGUUUGGUGCCUUCGGGAACUCUGAUACAGGUGCUGCAUGGCUGUCGUCAGCUCGUGUUGUGAGAUGUUGGGUUAAGUCCCGCAACGAGCGCAA